UACGUAGGGUCCGAGCGUUGUCCGGAGUUACUGGGCGUAAAGCGCGCGCAGGCGGCCGAUCAGGCCUGACGUGAAAGUCCUCGGCUUAACCGGGGAGAGUCGUCGGGGACCGGUCGGCUUGAGAGCGGCAGGGGCUGGUGGAAUUCCCGGUGUAGUGGUGAAAUGCGUAGAGAUCGGGAGGAACACCUGUGGCGAAGGCGGCCAGCUGGGCCGGCUCUGACGCUGAGGCGCGAAGGCGUGGGGAGCGAAC
rnacentral:rRNA from 1 species